rnacentral:rRNA from 1 species
CAGUCGCCACGGUAAUACGAAGGGUGCAAGCGUUAAUCGGAAUUACUGGGCGUAAAGCGUACGCAGGCGGUUUGUUAAGUCAGAUGUGAAAUCCCCGAGCUUAACUCGGGAACUGCAUUUGAAACUGGCAGGCUAGAGUCUCGUAGAGGGGGGUAGAAUCCCAGGUGUAGCGGUGAAAUGCGUAGAGAUCUGGAGGAAUACCGGUGGCGAAGGCGGCCCCCUGGACAAAGACUGACGCUCAGGUGCGAAAGCGUGGGGAGCAAACAGGAUUAGAUACCCGUGUAGUCCCUGUCUCUUAUAC